GGGAUUGCCCUAGUAACGGCGAGUGAAGCGGCAACAGCUCAAAUUUGAAAUCUGGCGUCUUCGACGUCCGAGUUGUAAUUUGCAGAGGGCGCUUUGGCAUUGGCAGCGGUCCAAGUUCCUUGGAACAGGACGUCACAGAGGGUGAGAAUCCCGUACGUGGUCGCUAGCCUUUACCGUGUAAAGCCCCUUCGACGAGUCGAGUUGUUUGGGAAUGCAGCUCUAAAUGGGAGGUAAAUUUCUUCUAAAGCUAAAUACUGGCCAGAGACCGAUAGCGCACAAGUAGAGUGAUCGAAAGAUGAAAAGCACUUUGGAAAGAGAGUUAAAAAGCACGUGAAAUUGUUGAAAGGGAAGCGCUUGCAGCCAGACUUGCCUGUAGUUGCUCAUCCGGGUUUCUACCCGGUGCACUCUUCUAUAGGCAGGCCAGCAUCAGUUUGGGCGGUUGGAUAAAGGUCUCUGUCAUGUACCUCUCUUCGGGGAGAACUUAUAGGGGAGACGACAUGCAACCAGCCUGGACUGAGGUCCGCGCAUCUGCUAGGAUGCUGGCGUAAUGGCUGUAAGCGGCCCGUCUUGAAACACGGACCAAGGAGUCUAACAUCUAUGCGAGUGUUUGGGUGUCAAGCCCGAGCGCGUAAUGAAAGUGAACGGAGGUGGGAACCUUUCGGGGUGCACCAUCGACCGAUCCUGAUGUCUUCGGAUGGAUUUGAGUAAGAGCAUAGCUGUUGGGACCCGAAAGAUGGUGAACUAUGCUUGAAUAGGGUGAAGCCAGAGGAAACUCUGGUGGAGGCUCGCAGCGGUUCUGACGUGCAAAUCGAUCGUCAAAUUUGGGCAUAGGGGCGAAAGACUAAU
rnacentral:rRNA from 1 species